GGGCUGGCUGGGGUUCCUGGGGAUGAGAUUUGUUUUUUAGUCACAAAUCACAUUGCCAGGGAUUACCAACCGUCC
rnacentral:pre_miRNA from 12 species